rnacentral:lncRNA from 1 species
GGGAUAGUACUGAAAAACUACUUUUAAUUUUGUGGGUAGCCCACAUUCUUGAAAGUUAAUGGGCGAAGAAAAAGUGGUCUUUGAACUCAAGGUAAAAGAACGUCAGUCCACUUUUUAACUCAAGUUAAGUAAUGCUAUCAGUUUCACCAAAUUCCAAAUAUGCAGGUAAAAUUUUAAUUUAAGUAAAGUAAAUUGAAUUAAAUUAAAACCCAAAGGCCAUCAUUUUUGACAAAUAUAUGAUCAACUAAAGUUACCUCACGAAAAGGAAAAAAUUGGAACAAUUAAAGUGAAAGCUUUGAUCACUUAAAAUUUCCUUUUCCUGGAAAUAAAUCUGAGAGAAGAAAAACAAAAAAGUGAGAUUUUUUUCAAUUGAUUGUAGGGUAUUUCAGAAAAAUAUCUUCGUCACAGGCAACACCACGUGACUUCGACAUGCAUCCCUUGCCCACACCCUCUCUGUACAACUUUUGUACAGUCCACUGCUCGACAACUCUUACUAUCUCUGGCUUCAGUUUUCUUAUACAAUAAGGAAUGUCUCCCUCACAAAGUUUUAGGGACGGGGCGGUGAGAACCCUCAAAAUUGGAGUUCAACCUUUACAAUAAAGCUUCUUAUACAGUAUGGUAUUGUACAAGCCUUCUCACAAUUUGAGGGAGUCCACGUGAAUUUAAUGAUUGUGGCCCUUUUUACUGUGAAAGGGGUGUAAGGACUGUACAGUAAGCACUACGGUUUCUUAUAUGCAUCAGCAACAUCUUUUACGUAGCUUAAAAGUUACUUUUUCUAACUACUUUCGCCACCUCGCUUGCCACAUCUUUGUCGUCAAUUUCAAUUCAGAACGUCUUAUUAAGUCGUCCUUUUCAUGUCAUGUCUGAUUCUUCUGGUGAGU